rnacentral:rRNA from 1 species
GACGAACGCUGGCGGCGUGCUUAACACAUGCAAGUCGAACGAUGAAGCGGUGCUUGCACCGUGGAUUAGUGGCGAACGGGUGAGUAACACGUGAGUAACCUGCCCUUGGCUCUGGGAUAAGCGCUGGAAACGGUGUCUAAUACUGGAUAUGACUUCAUGCCGCAUGGUGUGGGGUGGAAAGAUUUAUCGGCCAUGGAUGGGCUCGCGGCCUAUCAGCUUGUUGGUGGGGUAGUGGCCUACCAAGGCGACGACGGGUAGCCGGCCUGAGAGGGUGACCGGCCACACUGGGACUGAGACACGGCCCAGACUCCUACGGGAGGCAGCAGUGGGGAAUAUUGCACAAUGGGCGCAAGCCUGAUGCAGCGACGCCGCGUGGGGGAUGAAGGCCUUCGGGUUGUAAACUCCUUUCGCCAUUGACGAAGCCCUUUGGGGUGACGGUAGGUGGAGAAGAAGCACCGGCUAACUACGUGCCAGCAGCCGCCGUAAAAC